AGCAUAAUAAGUACGAACGCCGUGUAAAUCUGUUGGCUUAUCAACUUGAAAUAAUUAGCACUGGUCAAUGUAGCCUUGCUUCCGUUACCAUGACUCCAAACCCCACAUGCAAUACCUUGAAUAAAUUACUAUUUCACAACGUUUGAUAUUUUUCGGCAAUAAGACAAAACAUAUUGCUUAAUAACAACACCCUACAUUCAAUGUCAUUUUUCAAACAUAAACCUUAGUUUUUAGUCCGAAGAAAUGUUCGAAAACAUCAAGUAUAGAACGCUAGGCUAUAACCGUGUAAUGAGAAUAGUGUAACUGGCGCGAUCGGACCUUGUGACCUCUAGAUUAUUAACCUGAUUUCCUGGCAUCAAAGUGGGUUUUUUUACGUUGUAGCUGAACAUUUUGUGGAUUUAUAGAAAACAGUAUAAAUAUGAACAGCGUAGCUUUGCUUUGUCUGACGGUGCUGUGUCUGUUUGUAACGGUUGCUAUUGCUGGAGAGCACGACGUUCCUUCUGCAGAAGAUAGUCAAUGGGGCGAAGCCACUGCCGAAGGCGGUUACGAUAGUUACAACACUGCCAAAAGAGUUGAUAGUUACGAUAACAGUUGGAAAGAUCAGAUAAUGAUGGCUUCUGCCGGCAGUCACAACAGUGUUUAUAUGACAAUGUUUUUAGCGUUUGUCGUCAUGGUGAUUGCCCUUCGUUGGUGAGAUGAUAAGUUUUUAUGCUGUCAUCCAGUCUUCAGAAUACUAAAAAUUACAUUGCUCACAGACAUGAAUAGACUAUUAUUCGUAUUGUUAAGUAGUAGCCAGUUAUUGUCUGGACAGAGCAUAUUGACAUUUGACUGAUCGAAGUACGAGAUAUCUAAGAAAGUCUCCUAUUGCAUAUAUUGUAGAGAUUCCUUCCCUGUCUGGAUCAAUAUUUAUAUUUUUUUUCGAUGUAGUUUACAUUAUAUUGCACAACUGCACUAUUUUAGUUAAACGCAAUAUCGUAAUUUCAUUACAGAGAAAAACUAUUCAUUUUCGUACAUUAAUUUCCAUUGACUAGUUUGACCAUACUUUGUUUUCAGUUUCUGUGUAAUAUUGUAGCUUCAUGUAAAUGUUUUCAACCGUUUAACAUCACAUUGUGUGUUUCCUUUGUCAGUUCAAUUAUUCACGUUGGGUAAAAAUGUGUGUUUAUUGUAUUUGCAAAACACAUUGUAAUUUGUCAUAAAAGUUUAAUAUUGCUAGGUUUGGGAAUUGGGUAUUGCCUUAAUAUUAUUAAAUACAUUCUCUACUAUUUGUAAAUCACAUACUGUAUAUAUGUUUUCUGUCAUUCUGGGUCGAAAUUAAAGUAAA
rnacentral:lncRNA from 1 species